GACGAACGCUGGCGGCGUGCUUAACACAUGCAAGUCGAACGGAAAGGCCCUGCUUUUGUGGGGUGCUCGAGUGGCGAACGGGUGAGUAGCACGUGAGUAACCUGCCCUUGACUUUGGGAUAACUUCAGGAAACUGGGGCUAAUACCGGAUAGGAGCUCCUGCUGCAUGGUGGGGGUUGGAAAGUUUCGGCGGUUGGGGAUGGACUCGCGGCUUAUCAGCUUGUUGGUGGGGUAGUGGCUUACCAAGGCUUUGACGGGUAGCCGGCCUGAGAGGGUGACCGGCGACAAUGGGACUGAGAUACGGCGCAGACGCCUACGGGAGGCAGCAGGGGGGAGUAUUGCACAAUGAGCGGAAGCGUGAGGAAGCAGCGCCGCGAGUGGGAUGACGGCCUUCGGGUGGUAAACCGCUUUCGGCUGUGACGAAGCGGGAGUGACGGUAAUGGGUGAAGAAGCACCGGCUAACUACGUG
rnacentral:rRNA from 1 species